UCGGUGUCACCGCGGUGGAGUCAUCCUCACUGAUGACUAGUGUUUUGGCUCUUGCAUUGGCUGCCGUGAGCGAAUCGGAAUGCCGCUGAAACGUUUUUACUGGGUCUAGCCUGAGUAGUUUGAGACUUUCUGGGGCCCUAACGCUGAUUCAGAGAAACAAUUGUUCGUGAAUGAACAAUGCCUGCCCCCCACGACUCCUGUAGCACCAGUAUCUUCGCCAUCUGCAAUAGCGGCUGAUUGUCCGUUGGGUCAGGGAAACAGUUAUUUCAUCGAAGGGUACUGUUCGUCGGUAUGUAAGAACUUCUGGCACGAGAAAGUUGAUCACAUUUACGGCUGCCUUCACACGGCGAGCAUGACAGCUUGCUUAAGUCUCCUUCACGCACGACACUGUGCUAAGCGUUGCAGUCUAUUGUGCCGCUGAGGCGAUGCCACAGUACGCCGUUACAGUCCUCGGCAAUAUUGGGUGACAUGAACAGCACACCUUCGAGGCUUUCACAGGGCGUCGAACGACUUAGACAUGAUGGACACAAGUUACGCUUACAGUGAACCAAUCACUUUCCACCAGUAGCCUACCACAGAGUUGGAAGAUGUGGAAGGUCAUCCCAGUGCCCAAAAAUGUGCCCCCGUCACAUCCGUGACUGCGUCUUGCGGCACCUCCUUACUCGGUGACAUGGACACCACUCCAGGGAGCUGUUGCCGUCAACGAAAAGACUGACUGAAUGGCUUCUAAGUGCAGCAUUUGUCCAGAAGAGGCUUGUAAUUUUCAUAAUAACGAUCCGUUGCCCUCUUUUCGGAGAGCACCGUGACCCCUGACUCUCAGGCGUCAGGUCAUUUCCCCCCACGAGUUCAUAACUAUGCUCUAGAAUGUUGCCCCAUAAGGUGGUGCUAUCACUUAUAAUCUGGCGCUCAUUCGUCUUCAAGACUGCCGGGAUACAUACGGACGUGAUUACGAAUACGCAAAUGCUCUGUCAGUCGCAUUGACGAAUAAGGAAUGAAUACACCACCUACUCGAAUAAAAGAUUUGCGUCUAUGCUAGGCUGACCUUUGAGAAUUGAAAGACUUGUUCUUGAUUACACCAAAAGCUACAAAAAAAUGUUUGUGACAUGAACAAAGCAUUGUGUCUCUUCUCUUUCAAAUAAUUUAAAUGUUAGCAACGAAAUGUUUUGCAUGACAGAUAAUAAAUUCGCAUUCUUUUUUUGCACAUUAUACCAAUAUCUAUAUCGACAACACUUCAUAUGUUGUCACUUUUCUCUUUUCCUUUUUUUCCAUUCACUUUCAUGUGGUGUGUUCGAAAUUUCGCAAAUGGCACGUUAGUGAGGUCACUUGCGUUAUCUUAACACCUUCCCAUACAGGUGCUCUACACUUCACCGCCUUUCUACAUCAUGACUAGGUGUCUGUUCUAAAUUUUUGCUUAUGUUUGAUCCCUACCAGUGGAAAUUUUAUCAGACAAUCGACUACAUGGUGAAUUGUCUCUUGAAAAUGAGGUGGAUGAGAGCUGCAUGAUGCACUGCGUUGCAAUGCGUGCUAUCCAAAACCAAUAAAUUUUUGUUUACAUGUGCAAAAA